GACGAACGCUGGCGGCGUGCUUAACACAUGCAAGUCGAACGGAGUGGCGAACGGGUAAGUAAUACGUGGGUAACCUGCCCUCCUGUUUGGGAUAAGCCUUGGAAACGGGGUCUAAUACCGGAUCAAGGGGGAUGGGCUCGCGGCCUAUCGGGUUGUGGGGGGGGUGAUGGCCGACCAAGGCGGUGACGGGUAGCAGGCCUGAGAGGGUGACCGGACACAUUGGAACUGACAUACGCCCACGACUCCUACGGGAGGCAGAAGUGGGGGAUAUGGCACAAUGCUGGAAAGACUGAUGCAGCGGUGCCGCGUGGGGGAUGAAGGUGUUCGGGUUGUAAACCUGUUUCGCUAUCGAACCGGUAGGUGGAGAAGAAGCGCCGGCUAACUACGUGCCAGCAGCCGCGGUAAUAC
rnacentral:rRNA from 1 species